rnacentral:rRNA from 1 species
CCUACUGGAGGCUGCAGUGGGGAAUAUUGGGCAAUGGGCGCAAGCCUGACCCAGCAACGCCGCGUGAAGGAAGAAGGCUUUCGGGUUGUAAACUUCUUUUCUGAGGGACGAAGAAAGUGAAGGUACCUCAGGAAUAAGCCACGGCUAACUCCGUGCCAGCAGCCGCGGUAAUACGUAGGUGGCAAGCGUUAUCCGGAUGUAUUGUGUGUAAAGGGCGUGUAGGCGGGAAAGCAAGUCAGAUGUGAAAACUCAGGGAUCAACCCUGAUCCUGCAUUUGAAACUGUUUAUCUUGAGUGCUGGAGAGGCAAUCGGAAUUCCGUGUGUAGCGGUGAAAUGCGUAGAUAUACGGAGGAACACCAGUGGCGAAGGCGGAUUGCUGGACAGUAACUGACGCUGAGGCGCGAAAGCGUGGGGAGCAAACAGGAUUAGAUACCCCGGUAGUC